UGGCUCAGUUGGUAGAGCAUGGUGCUUACAACGCCAGUGUUGUGGGUUCUAUUCCCAC
rfam:Salmo salar isolate Sally breed double haploid chromosome ssa04, whole genome shotgun sequence.